rnacentral:lncRNA from 1 species
UCGAAGUAUGAUCUGUCGUGGUCAAACUGGUUCAAACAUUAAUGUCGAUGGCCUUACUCAAUAGGAUGUAACUUCGACUAUCGUCAAAGCAUUGUUCGUCGUGGUUGAACUGGAUGGAACUUUGAUGUCGAUGGCCUUAGCCAAUUGGAUGUAACUUUGACUGUCAUUAAAGUGUGAUCAGUCGUGGUAAAAUUGGGUCUAACCUUAAUGUCGAUGGCCUUAGCCAAUAGGAUGUAACUUCAACUGUCGUCGAAGUGUUGUUUGCGUGGUCGAACUGGGUCGAACCUUAAUGUCGAUGGCCUUAUCCAAUUGGAUGUAACUUCGACUGUCAUCAAAGUAUCGUCCAUCGUGGGAACUGGGUCGAACCUUAAUAUCGAUGGCCUUAGCCGUUUACAUAACUACUAUAAUGGCCUUAGCCAUUUGCAUAAUGGAGACAGUGGCCUUGGUUGUUUGCAUAAUGGAGAAACUAGCCUUAACUAUUUACGCAAUGGAGAGAAUGGACUUGGCUGUUUGCGUAUUGGAGAAACUAGCCUUAGUUGUUUACAUAAUGGAGAAAAUUCUGUACAGUGGAGAAUUCUGUAAAACAUAGAGUUUUGCUCAUCCAAUGGAGAUUCUACUAGUGUAGUCCCUUUAUUAUAUCGUCCCAGAGACCGUGUCGACUGACCAAUGUGAUAAAAUUGCUCUUACCCAGAGAUGCUGGUUCGAGUCCACCUCGUGAA